rnacentral:lncRNA from 1 species
CUCUAUUUUUCUUAUCAGCUGUACAUAUAUAUUAGACAAAGCUAAAACUUAUCUUGUAAGGGUGCGUCUAUAGCGCACGCUGGUUUCCGAAGUCAGCACCGAGUGCGUGUGCAAAUAAUCAUUUGCAUUUAAACAGGCCUGUCCAAAGUGCACCUGCGCGCUGUUAUUAGGAUUAUUCGCACACGGACUCGGCUUUCUGACUCGGAAAACAGCGUGCAAUGGACGCGCCCUAUAAAGAUACACCAAAUGUUGGAGCUUUCAGAGUUUAUGCAAGCUCUUGACAGUACUAACAAAUAACAAGUAACUUUUUCUAAUCCUGUUUUCACAUCAACAAUCACAUACUUUCCAAUAUUUUGAUUUACCUGUUAAUAAUACAUAGAUAAAAAUAUUAUCUUCAGCUCUAAUUCUAUGGAUAUAGGGUAUCAACGUCAUCAAAAAUGUAGACACACAGUGCGGGGUUUUAGUAAAAAAUCGAUUCAGUAACAAUUGCUUUAAAAAGCAAAUAUAUACGUCUAUAUUAUUUUGAUUCACAGCGAAGAAAAAGCGCUCAAACAUAUUUCGAGCUACGACUCUCCCCCUAUUCUCUCUCUCCGGCCAAUGAAUAAGAGGAGAUUCACAUGACAAGCGGUUAACGCGCGGUAGGCUUUUGUAUAGUGUUCAAUAUAGGUAUGAAGAGUGCUUGUCAGGUGUUGAAUGUGCCAUGUCUACGGUAAAAACAGUGACUCACCUAUAUUCAUGAAAUCUUCGUUCAAAAACUUAACAGAGAGGUCAUUAGGCCUACCUGAGAUAAAGACAUUGUUGUAUACAAAACAGAUCAACAGUGUUGCCUUACGUGAUAGUGGCUGAUGAAGCUUUUGUCAUGAUGGAGAAUACAAUGCGGCUAUAUGGGGGAUAACGGAUCAACUAGAUCCAGAUAUAGAAAUAAAACAGAAUAGCAAUGACCAAAUUUUUUGUAUUAAUCAUCUCAGUUUAGAACUAAGACAAAGAAGGGUUAAGUGCUGUGUUUGGUCUGUACUUUUGUAUGGUGCAGAAGUAUGCACGCUAAAAGUAUCGAUCAUGAACACAACUGAAGCAUUGGAAAUAUGGAUUAAUAGACGGAUGCUGUCGAUAUCUUGGAGAGCAAGAAAAACGAAUGAAGAAGUAGUAAGGAGAGUCAACAAAAAUAAAGAACUACUAAAGACUGUUAACACCAGAACAUAUCUUAUCUGGGACAUACAGUGAGGGAAAAUCAAUAUAAAAUAUUACAACUGAUCCUUAAAGGCAAAAUAGAGGGCAGAAGAGAUGUAGGAAGAACACAAGUUUCUUUCGCAAUGGUGAUCACCAACGUCUGACAUUUCUGAUAUGGCACGUGAAGAAGAAGAAGAUAUGGGAGGACAUGCCAAAAAAAUAUUUAAUCAUCGUUUAACAUUGGUACGCCGGUAUAUCGAAUGUAUAUUUGACAUCAUGUGCAAUAAAUGGCGUAUUUAACAUAGGUGUAAGAUGUUAACAACGGUUUUGCAGAAAAUAUCAUAAAAUUGAUGUGUACACUACAGAACUAAGUCAUAACAGAGGAAACCAAUGAUCUCAAAGCACGUGUUGACAACAGUCGAUGGCCAAAGCAGCGUUAAAAGCGCGUCAGCAUGUGUACGGACUACAUGAAAUGUAUGUAGUUCUAAACGCGCGUUAUCAACAUGCGUGUUAAGCGCUUGUCAUGUGAACCUGUCCUUAACCAUCAGGAAUAUAAUCACACGUUGCUUUUUGCGCACUUUUUCUUGGCAGUGCAUGUUAUAUUUAAUAACUUCAAUAGUUUUACUAAAUAUCAUAAUUUUAUACAUUAAAAGCAGUUGAGAUAUGGAAGGGAGUGUUUGAUACGAAUAUAUAAUAUUAUGUUCUAUACAUUUUGGAGCACAGAUGACAGUAUAAACAUAACCUAUUUUAGACUUAUGUAUUUCAAAAUAGAAUGUUUUGGUACCAAAAUGCGCAUUUUUUUCAAACAAAAAAACGCCACUAAGCAAUGGUUUUCAAUU